rnacentral:rRNA from 1 species
UACAGAGGUCCCAAGCGUUGUCCGGAUUUAUUGGGCGUAAAGAGCUCGUAGGCGGUUUGGCAAGUCGGGUGUGAAAACUCCGGGCUCAACUCGGAGACGCCACUCGAUACUGCCAUGACUCGAGUCCGGUAGGGGAGUGCGGAAUUCCUGGUGUAGCGGUGAAAUGCGCAGAUAUCAGGAGGAACACCGGUGGCGAAGGCGGCACUCUGGGCCGGUACUGACGCUGAGGAGCGAAAGCGUGGGGAGCGAACAGG